CGCUCUUUGUAAAACUGUUAAUAUAUAAAGAGUCCUGCCUGCCCAGUGACGUUGUUAAACGGCCGCGGUAUCUUGACCGUGCAAAGGUAGCAUAAUCAUUUGCCCUUUAAAUGGGGGCUGGUAUGAAUGGCAAGACGGAGGCUAAGCUGUCUCUUUCUUAUAUCUUGAAUUUAAUAUUUUUGUGAAGAAGCAGAAAUAUGCCCGCAGGACGAGAAGACCCUAUCGAGCUUAAGCAUAAGAAGCAUUAACAAAUUUGUUAGGUUUUGUUUCUAAUUUGAUUAAGAUUUAAUUGUUAUAAAAUUAAUUACUUUAGCCUAAAAAUGUUAAAUGCAGCUGUUUUGAUUGGGGCAAUCGUGGAGAAAAAAAUCCUCCAUUAUAAAAUAAAAAAAGCUACAGUUUUGUUGAUUAAAUCAAGUGAUCCGCCGUAUGGCGAGCAAAGGAAUAAGUUACCGUAGGGAUAACAGCGUAAUUUUUUUGGAGAGUUCAUAUUGAUAAAAAAGUUUGCGACCUCGAUGUUGGAUCGGGAUUUCCUGGGGAUGCAGCAGUUCCCAAGGGUUGGUCUGUUCGACCAUUAAAAUCCU
rnacentral:rRNA from 1 species